CCUACGGGAGGCAGCAGUGGGGAAUCUUGCGCAAUGGGCGAAAGCCUGACGCAGCAACGCCGCGUGCGGGAAGAAGGCUUUCGGGCUGUAAACCGCUUUCAGCAGGAACGAAAAUGACGGUACCUGCAGAAGAAGGAGCGGCCAACUAUGUGCCAGCAGCCGCGGUGAUACAUAGGCUUCAAGCGUUGUCCGGAUUUAUUGGGCGUAAAGAGUUCGUAGGCGGUCGAGUAAGUCGGGUGUGAAAAUUCUGGGCUCAACCCAGAGACGCCACCCGAUACUGCUUAACUUGAGUUCGAUAGGGGAGUGGGGAAUUCCUAGUGUAGCGGUGAAAUGCGCAGAUAUUAGGAGGAACACCGGUGGCGAAGGCGCCACUCUGGAUCGAUACUGACGCUGAGGAACGAAAGCAUGGGUAGCAAACAGGAUUAGAUACCCUGGUAGUCCAUGCCGUAAACGGUGGGCACUAGGUGUGGGAUUCUAUUAACGAAUUCCGCGCCGUCGCUAACGCAUUAAGUGCCCCGCCUGGGGAGUACGGUCGCAAGCUAAAACUUAAAUGAAUUGACAG
rnacentral:rRNA from 1 species